rfam:Metarhizium acridum CQMa 102 unplaced genomic scaffold Scf_001, whole genome shotgun sequence.
GGCCGCGUGGCCUAAUGGCUAAGGCGCUAGAUUUCGGUUAUCGUGAGCCGCCGAGCUCUCUAGAGAUUCCAGGUUCGACUCCUGGCGUGGUCG